rnacentral:rRNA from 1 species
GACGAACGCUGGCGGCGUGCCUAAUACAUGCAAGUAGAACGCACAGUUUAUACCUUAGCUUGCUGCACCAUUGGCUGUGAGUUGCGUACGGCUUAGUAACGCGUACGUAACCUGCCUGGUAGCGUGGGAUAACUAUUGGAAACGAUAGCUAAUAGCUCCUAAUAUUUAUUAUUGCAUGAUAAUUAAUUGCAAGUUGCAAUUGCACCACUACCAGAUGGACCUUCGUUGUAUUAGCUAGUAGGUGAGGUAAUGACUCACCUAGGCGACGAUACAUAGCCGACCGGAGAGGGUGGGUGGCCAGACUGGGACGGUGACACGGCACAGACUGCUACGGGAGGGAGCCGGAGGGAAUCUGCGGCAAUGGACGAAAGACUGAGCGAGCAACGCCGAGGGAGUGAAGAAGGUUUUCGGAUCGUAAAGCUCUGUUGUAAGAGAAGAACGGGCGUGAGAGUGGAAAGUUCACACUGUGACGGUAUCUUACCAGAAAGGGACGGCUAACUACGUG